GUGCCAGCAGCCGCGGUAAUACGUAGGGUGCAGGCGUUAAUCGGAAUUACUGGGCGUAAAGCGUGCGCAGGCGGCUCUUUAAGUCAGAUGUGAAAGCCCCGGGCUUAACCUGGGAAUUGCGUUUGAAACUGGAGAGCUGGAGUGUGGAAGAGGGGGGUGGAAUUCCAGGUGUAGCAGUGAAAUGCGUAGAGAUCUGGAGGAACACCGAUGGCGAAGGCAGCCCCCUGGGCUAACACUGACGCUCAUGCACGAAAGCGUGGGGAGCAAACAGGAUUAGAUACCCUUGUAGUCC
rnacentral:rRNA from 1 species